rnacentral:lncRNA from 1 species
GGACAAUGAUAUAUUUACUGGAGCCAAAAAAAAAAAGACUUGCUCCUUUGUUGCUGCUGUUAAGUACAAAAUUCAAGGAUUCAAGGUUCAUCAGCCCCAUCCACAUAAGAGUAAAGAUAUGUAGCGUUUCAUAGUAUCAAAAACAAAAUAUUUUUAGUCAUAUCUCUCGACGUAAAAGACUAAUUAGAACCAAACUACAAAUAAAAGGAAGAUUUCUAACAUGGGAUCAAUUUCCUGAAAUUUUUUGUUAAUAAAGAUAGCCAUAUUCGACAAAUGCAUUCCCUCAACAGCUAAAAUUUCCAGAGAACAAAAAAUUUCAGGACAAUGAUGGGAGGAAACAGAUACAUUAAUCUGCACAGGCCAAAAGGUUGUCCUCGAUCGAGAGCUCUCACCUCUGCAGCCUGAUAAGAUUAGAAGACUGAGCUAAUAUUUACCAAUGUGACAUAUUUCUGCUACUUUGCACAAUUACAGAGUGCCAUACGAGACUCAUGUUGAUUCAGGCUUCUGCGUGCAUAUACAUGUAUUGUGUGUAUUGACGUUGGUGUUACAAAUAAGUUAGAGAUACAGUAGUCUAUCACCGUACAGAAACUACACCAUAUCAUAAGCAUCAACUUCUCCUUGUCCAUUCUCAUCCCACCCGGCCCUAAAUUUGCAGACAGGGCAAGUUCCCCGCUGCCUUAGCCAUGGGUCAAUGCAGUUUGCAUGGAACUGCAACACAAAAGAUAUAAAUUAAAAUACACACCUGCUCUGCGACAAUAUACACAUAUACAUAUACUAAAUACUAUUAACUCCACAGUGGCGGACCCAGGAUUUUGUGCAAGCGGGUUCAAUCUUAGAAGUACAUAACUUUAGUCGUAAAAUAGUAGUUGUCAAGUGGGUUCAAAUAAAAUAUUUAUACAAAAUUUACGCAGCUUUAAUCCUAAUUUAUACAUAUACACAGUAUUAUUUUUUGAUGAAGCGGGUUCCCGCUUGCCACCACGUGCGUCCACCACCGACUCCACUGCUACUAGCUUAAACUAGGGAAAUUUUUAUCCUCA